GACGAACGCUGUCGGCGUGCUUAACACAUGCAAGUCGAACGGAAAGGCCCUGCUUUUGUGGGGUGCUCGAGUGGCGAACGGGUGAGUAACACGUGAGUAACCUGCCCUUGACUUUGGGAUAACUUCAGGAAACUGGGGCUAAUACCGGAUAGGAGCUCCUGCUGCAUGGUGGGGGUUGGAAAGUUUCGGCGGUUGGGGAUGGACUCGCGGCUUAUCAGCUUGUUGGUGGGGUAGUGGCUUACCAAGGCUUUGACGGGUAGCCGGCCUGAGAGGGUGACCGGCCACAUUGGGACUAAGAUACGGACCAGACUCCUACGGGGGGCAGCAGGGGGGAAUAUUGCACAAUGGGCGGAAGCCUGAGGCAGCGACGCCGCGGGCGGGAUGACGGCCUUUGGGUUGUAAACCGCAGUCGCCUGUGACGAAGCGGGAGUGACGGUAAUGGGUAAAGAAGCACCGGCUAACUACGUG
rnacentral:rRNA from 1 species